UUAUUAAAAGAAAAAGGGGUGAAAAGAAUAAAGUUUUGUCCAUCUUUGUUCAUCAUAGCCUAAAGUUAGAGAAGAGAAAGGAGAGGAGAAAGCUCUUGAAUGUUCGGUCACUUGGGGAAGAAAAUUGAAGGAAAUCCCCAACCAUAGUGGGCUUGGAGCUGUGAGGGAAUUCGGAUUGGCCACCCGUUCUGAAAGUUUUUGGUUUUCUUCUAGUGAACUGGACAUCCUAUUAUUUACGUUGAGGUUUGGGUUUUUAAAUGUAAUAAGGCCGCUUAAUUAUUUUUGAUGGUUUUUAUAUGUUUUAUUAAGAUAGGUAACAUUUAAAUUUAACUGUUGAAA